UUUCCUGUGGCUCAGUUGGUAGAGCAUGGUGUUUGCAAUGCCAGCAUGGUGUGUACAACUCCAGGGUUGUGGGUUUGAUUCCCACGGGGGGAC
rfam:Salmo salar isolate Sally breed double haploid chromosome ssa03, whole genome shotgun sequence.